rnacentral:rRNA from 1 species
UCAAGAACCUUCCACAAUGGACGAAAGUCUGAUGGAGCGACGCCGCGUGAUGGACGAAGUCCUUAGGGACGUAAACAUCUUUUAUGAGGGAAGAAAUUAUUGACUGUACCUCAUGAAUAAGGGGCUCCCAAUCUCGUGCCAGCAGGAGCGGUAAUACGAGAGCCCCGAGCGUUAUCCGGAAUCAUUGGGCGUAAAGGGUGUGUAGGCGGUUGUAUUAGUCUUCUGGUAAAGCUCCAGGCUUAACUUGGAAAAAUUAGAAGAAACGGUACGACUAGAAUAUGUGAGGGGUGUACGGAACUCUACGUGUAGGGGUGAAAUCCGUUGAUAUGUAGGGGAACACCAAAAGCGAAAGCAGUACACUAGCGCAUUAUUGACGCUCAAACACGAAAGCGUGGGUAGC